GCCAACAUGGUUUAAUGGUUUUGACAUUGGACUAUGACUCUGGAAACCAAUGUUCAAAUCCAUGUUUGGCC